AACGAACGCUGGCGGCAUGCCUAACACAUGCAAGUCGAACGAGCCCUUCGGGGCUAGUGGCGCACGGGUGCGUAACGCGUGGGAAUCUGCCCUUAGGUUCGGAAUAACAGUUAGAAAUGACUGCUAAUACCGGAUAAUGACUUCGGUCCAAAGAUUUAUCGCCUAGGGAUGAGCCCGCGUAGGAUUAGCUUGUUGGUGAGGUAAAAGCUCACCAAGGCGACGAUCCUUAGCUGGCUGAGAGGAUGAUCAGCCACACUGGGACUGAGACACGGCCCAGACUCCUACGGGAGGCAGCAGUGGGGAAUAUUGGACAAUGGGCGAAAGCCUGAUCCAGCAAUGCCGCGUGAGUGAUGAAGGCCCUAGGGUUGUAAAGCUCUUUUGCCAGGGAUGAUAAUGACAGUACCUGGAGAAUAAGCUCCGGCUAACUCCGUGCCAGCCGCCGCAGUAAG
rnacentral:rRNA from 1 species